CAGCAGCCGCGGGAAUACGUAGGGUGCGAGCGUUAAUCGGAAUUACUGGGCGUAAAGCGUGCGCAGGCGGUUAUGUAAGACAGUUGUGAAAUCCCCGGGCUCAACCUGGGAACUGCAUCUGUGACUGCAUAGCUAGAGUACGGUAGAGGGGGAUGGAAUUCCGCGUGUAGCAGUGAAAUGCGUAGAUAUGCGGAGGAACACCGAUGGCGAAGGCAAUCCCCUGGACCUGUACUGACGCUCAUGCACGAAAGCGUGGGGAGCAAACAGGAUUAGAUACCCGCGUAGUCCCUGUCUCUUAUAC
rnacentral:rRNA from 1 species